AACGAACGCUGGCGGCAUGCCUAACGCAUGCAAGUCGAACGAGACCUUCGGGUCUAGUGGCGCACGGGUGCGUAACGCGUGGGAACCUGCCCUUAGGUUCGGAAUAACUCCCCGAAAGGGGUGCUAAUACCGGAUAAUGUCCUCGGACCAAAGAUUUAUCGCCUUUGGAUGGGCCCGCGUUGGAUUAGCUAGUUGGUAGGGUAAAAGCCUACCAAGGCGACGAUCCAUAGCUGGUCUGAGAGGAUGAUCAGCCACACUGGGACUGAGACACGGCCCAGACUCCUACGGGAGGCAGCAGUGGGGAAUAUUGGACAAUGGGCGAAAGCCUGAUCCAGCAAUGCCGCGUGAGUGAUGAAGGCCUUAGGGUUGUAAAGCUCUUUUACCCGGGAUGAUAAUGACAGUACCGGGAGAAUAAGCUCCGGCUAACUCCGUG
rnacentral:rRNA from 1 species